rnacentral:rRNA from 1 species
GACGAACGCUGGCGGCGUGCUUAACACAUGCAAGUCGAACGGAAAGGCCCUGCUUGCAGGGUCCUCGAGUGGCGAACGGGUGAGUAACACGUGGGUGAUCUGCCCUGCACUUCGGGAUAAGCCUGGGAAACUGGGUCUAAUACCGGAUAGGAGCCAUUUUUAGUGUGAUGGUUGGAAAGUUUUUUCGGUGUAGGAUGAGCUCGCGGCCUAUCAGCUUGUUGGUGGGGUAAUGGCCUACCAAGGCGGCGACGGGUAGCCGGCCUGAGAGGGUGGACGGCCACAUUGGGACUGAGAUACGGCCCAGACGCCGACGGGAGGAAGAAGGGGGGAAGAUUGCACAAUGGGCGCAAGCCUGAUGCAGCGACGCCGCGUGGGGGAUGACGGCCUUCGGGUUGUAAACUCCUUUCGCUAGGGACGAAGCUUUUUGUGACGGUACCUAGAUAAGAAGCACCGGCUAACUACGUG